ACUUCCUUCUCCAGGGCUUCGCUGAACUCUGCACAGACCUCAAUUACAACCCUUAUAAAGCUGGGUUGUGGUCGGGUGCGGUGGCUCAUGCCUGUAAUCCCAGCACUUGGGAGACUGAGGCAUGUGAGUCGCCUGAACCCGGGAGGCAGAGGUUGAAGUGAGCCGAGAUCGUGCCACUGCACUCCAGCCUGGGCGACAGAGCGAGACUCCGUCUCAAAAGUAAUAGAGACGGGGUUUCACCGUGUUAGCCAGGAUCGUCUGGAUCUCCUGACCUCGUGAUCCACCCGCCUUGGCCUCCCAAAGUGCUAGGAUUACAGGCGUGGGACACCGUGCCCAGCCCAGGUCCUUGUGCCCUUCGAGGGUGCAGACGGUGGUCUCUGCAUCUCCUUUGCUCCACGUGCCAGGCACAGGUGCCUGGGAACUACAGAAGAGGUUGAAUAGAAGGCUUAACAAUGAGUUUGGAAGUCAGGCACAGAGGGUUUGACUUCCGGGGGCACCCCUUGCCAGCUGUAUGACCCUGGCAAGUCACUCUUCCUUUCUGCGCCUUGGUCCCUGCAUCUAUAAAUUGCUGUAAGGAUGAAAUUACAUAAUUAUAGGUAAAGCACCUGGCACAGUGAACAGUCCACAAAUCUUAGCUAUAAUAACAAUGACGUCAGUUAAGUAACUCACUUAGAAACAACACUGGCCACUGAAGUGGAGGGCCAGUGAAGUGGAGUCAAGUGCUGGGAGGAAGUCCAGGCCAGCAGGCCAACUUUGGUAUACAAAGAUGUGAAAACACGCUUGGCGUGGUGGCUCACGCCUGUAAUCCCAGCACUUCGGAAGGCCGAAGCAGGCAGAUCACCUGAGGUCAGGAGUUCCAGACCAGCCUGGCCAAGAUGGCGAAACUCUGUCUCUACUAAAAAUAUAAAAAUUAGCCAGGCGUGUUGGCGUGUGCCUGUAGUCCCGGCUACUCCUCGGGAGGCUGAGGCAGGAGAAUCACUUGAACCUGGGAGGCAGAAGUUGCAGUGGGCCGAGAUUGCACCAUUGCACUCCAGCCUGGGUGACAGAGCAAGACCCUGUCUCAAAACAAAAAAACAAAGAUGUGAAAACAGCCAACCACCAGGUGGCAAUCCAUGCAAGAGCCCAGCUGCCGGGUGUGCCCCAGCUUCAAGCCAGACAGACCUCAGACAUCCAGGGCCUGGGGAAGGUCCAGCCCCAAAUGGCAGCCAUCUGAUAGCAGCAAAAGAAAACCUGUGGGCCAGGCGCGGUGGCUCACGCCUGUAAUCUCAGCACUUUGGGAGGCCGCGGCGGGCGGAUCACGAGGUUGUGCAGAGCUGAUCCCGGCCUUCCCCUUCGGUGAUUCAGUGAGCGUCAGCUUAUUUCAUCCUCCCUUCCAUGCUCUGGCCAUACACACUUCUGAGUCCUGGGAAGGCUCUAAGCUCCUUCCUGUCUUGUGAGCUUUUCAAGUGCUAUUCCCUCUGCUUGGAACACCUGACCCCUGGUUAGUACCUACUCAUCCUUCCAAUCUCAGCUCAAACAGCACUGUCUCCAGGAAGCCUUCCCUAGCCCCAGAAUAAACUCUCCUAACAUCAUUUAUCUAUGGGAUUAUUUAAUAUGUGUCCCUCUCUCUCCCACAGACAGUAAGCUCCAUGAGUGCAGAGAACACUUCUAUUGUGUUCUCUGUUGCAUCUCCAGCUCCUGGUUCAGGGCUUAUCACAUAGUAGGUCCCAUUCAUGUCUGUUUAAUGGAUGGAUAUGAACAUCCCACUGAGCCUCAGCGAAUGUCAAGUGGGAGCCAUAAUCUCAUCCUUAUGGUGCUGUGAAAUCAUUAAAUGAUUUUUGGCACACAGUAGGUGUUUGACGAAUGAGAUACCUAUUCUCCCAUUCCUUUCAAUUAAGGAAAAGUUAGAAGCAGGCAUAUAGGUAGCUUAAAGGACAGCAUGUUCAUGGAUAGGAACCCCCAAUAUUGUCUAGAUGUCAGUUUUUACCAACUUGAUUUAUAGAUUUAAUGCAACCCCAAUCAAAAUUCCAGCAAGUUAUUUUGUGGAUAUAAGCAAACUGAUUAUGAAGUUUAUAUGGAGAGCAAAAGACCCAGAAUAACCAACACAAUAUUGAGGGAGAAGAGCAAAGUUGGCAGACUGACACUACCCAACUUUAAGACUUACUAUAAAGCUACAGUAAUUAAUAUGGUAUUGGUGAAACAAUAAACAGAGUAAUGGAACAGAAUCCAGAAUCCAGAGAUAAAUCGACAUAAAUACAGUCAAGUUGUUUUUGACAAAAGGGCAAAGUCAAUACAAUGGAGAAAAAUUCUUUUCAGCAAAUGGUGCUGGAACAACUGGACAUCCACAUGCAAAAAAGUACAUCUAGAUACAGACCUUACACCCUUCAGACAAAGUAACUCAAAAUGGACCAUAAGCCUAAGCAUAAAACCAAAAUUAUAAAACUCCUAGAAGAUAACACAGGAGAAAACCUGGAUGACCUUGGGUUGGCAAUGACUUUUUAGAUACAAUACCAAAGGCAUGCUCCUUGAAAGAAAUAAUUAAUUGAGAAGCCAGAAGGCAAAAUGGUACAGCCAUUUUGGAAGACAGUUUGGCCGUUUCUCACAAAACUAAAUAUACUCUUACCAUACCAUGCAGCAAUUAUACUCCUUGGUGUUUACCCAAGACUUGAAAACUUGUGUCUACACAAAAAUCUGCACGAGUGUUUAAAGCAGCUUUAUUUUUAUUUAUAAUUGCCAAAGCUUGGAGGCAAGUAAGAUGUCCUUUGGUAAGUGAAUGGGUAAACUAUGGUUCAUCCAGAUAAUGAGAUACUAUUCAAUGUUAAAAAUAAAUAAGCUAUCAAGCCAUGGGGAGAGAUGGAGGAAACUGACAUGCAUACUAUUAAGUGAAAGAAGCCCAUCUGAAAACGCUACGUACUAUAUGGUUCCAACUGUAUGACGUCCUGGAAAAGGCAAAACUUUGGAAACAGUAAAAAGAUCAAUGGUUAGCAGGAUUUGGGCAGGGGAAGGGAUGAAUAGGCAGAUCACAGAUGAUUUUUAGGAGAGUAAAAAAUGCACGGUAUUAGAAUGAUGGAUACAUAUUAUCCAUUUGUCCAAACCCACAGAAAGUGCAACAUCAAGAGGGAGCCCUCAUGGAAACUGUGGCUCUGGGUGACAAUGAUGUGUCAUGUAGGCUCAUCCGUGGUAACAAAUGCACCACUCUGUGGGGAUGUUGACAGUGCAGGGGACUGUGCAUAUGUGAGGACAGAGGGUACAUGUAAAUCUCUAUAUCUUCAGCAGAAUUUUGCUGUGACCCUAAGACUGCUUGAAGAAAAAUAAAGUCUUCGUUAAAACAAAACAAAACAUCUUGGCUAGGGGAUGGAGGAGGGUGGGGGCCAGGAGGUCAAUACCACAUAGGGUCAGGAUGCUAAAAGCUGGAAGAAGUCUUAGAAAUCAUCUAGUUAAAGUGGCU
rnacentral:lncRNA from 10 species